rnacentral:SRP_RNA from 1 species
UCGUGCUAGAUGGGGAGAUAGCGGUGCCCUGCACCCGCAAUCCGCUAUAGCGGGAUCGAAUUCCCAUCCAGAGGUCCUGGUACUUCCGGGGCAACGGACGAAAAGUAGUACUGAAGGUCAGAUUCUGCGCAACGGAUGGCUUCCGAACCCCGUCAGGACCGGAAGGUAGCAGCGGUAGGAAUGUCCUUUCGUGUGCCGCAGAGCUGUCUGACUGGAGCUAACUGGCGUCUGGUGCAACGCAGGUCGAGAUCGAAGAUGGGUGCACGG